UCCUGAAUGUUUUUUAGGGUUCCGUUCUACAUGGGGAUACGGCGGCGGCGGCGGUAGUGGUGAACAGCGACGACAACCGCGGAGGUAUUAGUGAACAACGCCGACGACUUAGCAGCGGCUGGCCCUGCAGGUGUGGAUGGACCUGACGGUGGUUCAACAUGAUUGGCACCACCACCGCCAAUUUCAGACAAUCGGAACCGAUGGAACCCUUAUCGACUGGAGAAACCCCCAAAAGUUCUUCGCUACAUGGUGAUGGAACGAAUGUAGAGACAAGCAUAGUCACGGCCAUGUGAAGUUCGUGUGGUGCUCCAACUAUGGGUCCUUAAAUGCGUAACAUUUUGAGGGGAUGCGUGUCGAUUUUACCAACUUUCUCAAUCAGAGGUUCUCACUAACUCACAGCACCCUCAUGGGACCGACGGAGAUUCCUUCUCAAUAUGCUGAAAUAAUAAAAUUCCGACUGCACACUAUGCUUUUAGUGCUAACUUUAUGCAUCCAAAGUAGUUGAUGCUUUUUGGAAGGGUUUUGACCGAUGGGCGGGUCAACUCUUGAGUCAAAUGUGACUUAUCGGAUAAUCUUAGCAUGAAUGCCGAUGCUCAGCUAACAAGUGAGCCGCACAUGUCGAAUGGAAAGGUUAACAUCGACUAUAAGAUGCCAUCCCUACUAGAAAAAGCAAUGUACUUGCAGAUAUAUAUCGUAGAAAAUGGAUGUACCAGAUGUUUUGCAACCACAGGCUAUGUUGGAUGGACUUCAUAAGUUUGGAAUGGCAUUCCACCCUAUAGACGGCACAUUGCCUUAUUAUUGAUGGAAGCUAUGUGGACAGUAAACAUUCACGACUGUAUUCAUGGGAAGUUAUGGCCAGUACCACAUAAUUCAUCACACCACUAAUCACUAUAGCUAAGUUUAUAGGUCAACUUUAGCUCUUUUUGCUCAAAAAGUCAUGAUUGUACACAUGUUUAUUUUAGUUGAUUUGUCAUGUUGGCAAUUGGUAUGCAAAUUAGUCUACUUAACUGCAGCUAAUGAAUAAUAUCGGUAAUCAUGUUUUUGGCAAAUAGCUCUAUUUAGCUACUCUUGGU
rnacentral:lncRNA from 1 species